rnacentral:rRNA from 1 species
CAUUGCUGGAACGCGCCCCAGGCGCACCCAGAAACCCUUUGUGAACUUAUACCUUACUGUUGCCUCGGCGCAUGCCGGCCCCCCCGGGGGCCCCUCUCCGGAGGAGCAGGCACGCCGGCGGCCAACCUAACUCUUGUUUUUACACUGAAACUCUGAGGAUAAAACAUAAAUGAAUCAAAACUUUCAACAACGGAUCUCUUGGUUCUGGCAUCGAUGAAGAACGCAGCGAAAUGCGAUAAGUAAUGUGAAUUGCAGAAUUCAGUGAAUCAUCGAAUCUUUGAACGCACAUUGCGCCCUCUGGUAUUCCGGAGGGCAUGCCUGUUCGAGCGUCAUUUCAACCCUCAAGCCUGGCUUGGUGAUGGGGCACUGCCUGUAAAAGGGCAGGCCCUGAAAUUCAGUGGCGAGCUCGCCAGGACCCCGAGCGCAGUAGUUAAACCCUCGCUUUGGAAGGCCCUGGCGGUGCCCUGCCGUUAAACCCCCAACUUUUGAAAAUUGAC